GCAAGCCGGGGAACGCCUGUCCUCUGGGCUUAGGGAAGGUUUCACAGCCGGGUUGCGUUGGAGUGAGUCUGCAAAGGAUGAAUAAAUCAAGGCACAGAGAAGUUACGGGACUUGGCCAAGGAGAGAUACAGGUGGUGGAACAGAGAUUCAAACUCAGUGCCCAGUUAUUGCCAGAAGAGGAUAAAGUUGGGAACCAGAGUGUGAAGAAAGUGAAUUCCUCCAUCUCUCUUCUUUCAUUUUUGGUCCCCUCUCUGCAUCCUCUGGGAUUCUCCUCCUUCAUCCCAAGCCCUCUAUGUUGAAACACUAACAUGGAGAAUGCAGUGUCAUUCAAGU